rnacentral:rRNA from 1 species
GUACACUCCUACGGGAGGCAGCAGUGGGGAAUAUUGGACAAUGGGCGCAAGCCUGAUCCAGCCAUGCCGCGUGAGUGAUGAAGGCCCUAGGGUUGUAAAGCUCUUUCACCGGUGAAGAUAAUGACGGUAACCGGAGAAGAAGCCCCGGCUAACUUCGUGCCAGCAGCCGCGGUAAUACGAAGGGGGCUAGCGUUGUUCGGAUUUACUGGGCGUAAAGCGCACGUAGGCGGACUAUUAAGUCAGGGGUGAAAUCCCGGGGCUCAACCCCGGAACUGCCUUUGAUACUGGUAGUCUUGAGUUCGAGAGAGGUAAGUGGAAUUCCGAGUGUAGAGGUGAAAUUCGUAGAUAUUCGGAGGAACACCAGUGGCGAAGGCGGCUCACUGGCUCGAUACUGACGCUGAGGUGCGAAAGCGUGGGGAGCAAACAGGAUUAGAUACCCCGGUAGUCCC